rnacentral:lncRNA from 1 species
UGGCUCCAAUUAUUGUAGUUGUCUUAGUUCCUAAUGGUCCUUUUAAACUAUUUAACACUGAAUAUGUUGCUCCUAUUACAUUUACAGCCUAAUUAACACAGAGAAAGAAGCUCCCAAGCUCUGAAACCCCAUGACCCCCACAAGAGAAAUAUUGCUCCUGUCCUUACCACAGGCAAAUGGCCAAAAGCAGCACUGACAGCUCCUCCCUGACUGCCAGAGAGGGAGGAUCCCAGGACAAAAGAUGUGUUUUCUAUUUCCCAAAGGCAGUCCAGCCUCUGAGAGUGCUCGGGGAGGAGGCAGACAUGGCUGGAGAAGCAGGGGAUGUGGCGGCCUUCACCCAGCCCCCACCCACAGCCAGUGAAACUCUGUCAAAAAUGCCUCCAGCAUGUCCGCUGCUCCUGCCCUCUGCCCUCUUCCCAGCCACAGGUGGUUUUUGGAGGGCACAAGGUCAGCAGUCCCCCACAUUCCCACUGAGAUUUUACCACCCUCCUUCCUCCUGUCUCUCAAGCUUAGCUCGGAGCAACUGGUCUGCUACAGGAGCAUAA